rnacentral:rRNA from 1 species
CCUACGGGUGGCAGCAGUAGGGAAUAUUGCUCAAUGGGGGAAACCCUGAAGCAGCAACGCCGCGUGGAGGAUGAAGGUUUUCGGAUCGUAAACCUCUGUUGUUAGAGAAGAUAAUGACGGUAUCUAACGAAUAAGCACCUGCUAACUCCGUCCCAGCAGCCGCGGUAAUACGGAGGGUGCAAGCGUUACGCGGAAUCACUGGGCGUAAAGAGCGCGUAGGCGGGUUAGCAAGUCAGAUGUGAAAGCCUAUGGCUGAACCAUAGAACUGCAUUUGAAACUGUUAUUCUAGAGUGUAGAAGAGGUGGGUGGAAUGCUAGGUGUAGGGGUAGAAUGCGUAGAGAUAAGGAGGAAUACUAGUGGCGAAGGCGACCUGCUGGAACAUAACUGACGCUGAGGCGCGAAAGCGUGGGGAGCAAACAGGAUUAGAUACCCGGGUAGUC